UUUGUUUUCCACUUGGUUUAUUUUGUUUUCCAUUUGCUGGUUUACUUUAUCCAUUCUUGUGCAUUAAAAAUAAGCUCUGAACUCAUGAAAAUAAGCAGAUCCUUGACAGGAUACAUUUUGACAGUAUGGUAAGUCAGAGCACAGAAUAUUGUUUUUAUUCUUGUUUGU
rnacentral:ribozyme from 15 species